AGGCUGCUGUGUGAUGACUGCAUAGUUCAGCAGACAACCUGUGGUGAUCAAUCACUGUCUUUCGCCUCCUCUCUGAUGCAGCCU
ensembl:snoRNA small nucleolar RNA snR60/Z15/Z230/Z193/J17